rnacentral:rRNA from 1 species
UUUGAACUUGAACAAGGUUCCAUUGGAAUGAGAGUUCACCGUUAGAAGCGAUGCGUGAGCUGGGUUAAGAACGUCUUGAGGCAGUUUGUUCCCUAUCUACCGUUAUA